rnacentral:rRNA from 1 species
UGCGUAGGCGGUCUUUCAAGCCAGAAGUGAAAGGCUACGGCUCAACCGUAGUAAGCUUUUGGAACUGUAAGACUUGAGUGCAGGAGAGGAGAGUAGAAUUCCUAGUGUAGCGGUGAAAUGCGUAGAUAUUAGGAGGAAUACCAGUAGCGAAGGCGGCUCUCUGGACUGUAACUGACGCUGAGGCACGAAAGCAUGGGGAGCAAACA